ensembl:lncRNA
AGCCAGAGCCUGCGUCAGCCAGUGGGAGGGAAACCUGCCUAGGGAGGACUUGGACUUCAGGGCUCAACCAGAGUGCUGCUGUUGGUGUUCUGGGAGAAGAGCUCUCAAGUGGUAAAAGAAUCCUCUUGCUAACACAAGAGGCUACGAGACACAGGUUUGAUACCUGGUUGGGAAGAUCCCCUGGAAUAGGAAAUGGCAACUCAGUCCAAUAUUCUUCCCUGGAAAAUUCCAUUGACAGAGAAGCCUGGUGGUCUACAGUCCAUGGGGCCACAAAGAGCUGGACAUGACUGAGCACACUCACAAGAAAGUAUAGACUAAAACAUUUAAGAUUUUAUUUCAUAAUUCUAGUAAUAGGAAUGUCUGACGUGUUUCACCUUGCAUAUCUAUAGCUCUUAGAAAUAGCCAAGACAUGGAAGGAACCUGAAUGUCCUUGACAGAUGAAUGGAUAAAGAAGAGUUGAUGUAUAUACGUAUGUAGUAUUUUGCAUUCCACUCAGAAGUGUCAUUGGCUGACUUCAUUGGGCUAGCUUUGUCUUGCUGGUUUCCAGACACUAGGAUCAAGAAGCAUUUAGUCCUUUGAUGCUCUGAAGGAAAAUUCCAAAUACUGUAUGUUGACACACUGGAUCUGGAAGUUGUUGCUGGAUCUUCCUCACCUUGAGUGUGAUCUGGACACAUUGACCUCCUUUCGAACAAUAGAGUCUGGGAAGGGACGCAUAGCAACUUAUAGUGGACAUACCUGGCAAUAUCACCUGAAGUGCCUGAUCAAGGUCAACUUCACCAGCAAUGCCAUAGGGCUCCUAUAAACCCCGUGGUGGGAAGCAAUGAAAAAGUACCUCAACUCUGUGAUCUAUUUCUGCAAAAUCCAUAACUCCAGUCUAAUGGUGAGAAGACAUCAGCGAGACACCAAGUACUUCAGCAUUCUUCAAAACGCUCUACUUCCCAAGAGCAAGGGGAAACCAAGAAAUGUACUCAUUGAACGAGACAAGAUGACCAAGGCAAUGUAUGAUCCUGGACUGGGUCUUGGAACAGAAAAUGAACAGUAGUGAAAAAACUGGGAAAAUCCAGAUAUGAUCUGCAAUUAAUAGUUUUGUGUGAAUAUUAUUUGUUUCUUCUUGCUGUGCUCAGUUGUGUCAGGUUCUUUAUGACCCCAUGGACUGUAGCCUGCCAGGCUCCUCUGUCCAUGGAAAUUUCCAGGCAAGAAUACUGGAGUGGGUUGCCAUUUCCUUCUCCAGAGGAUCUUCCCACUCUAAGGAUUGAAUCUGUGUCUCAUAAGUCUCUUGCACUGAUGGGUGGAUUCCUUACCAUUGACCCACCAUAUCCUGCCGUAUUAUUUGUUUAGUUUUGUCAAAUCUGACAUUGUCGCAUAAUACAUUAAUGUCAGAAGAAUCUCUUGAAGGGUAUACUGAAAGUCCUUGUACUAUCUCUGCAACAUUUUUUUCUAAAUCUAAAUUUAUUCUGUAAUAAAACAAAAAAAUAUUAUGUCACAUAAGUAGCUUAUACUAACUGAAAUAAUGAGUUAAAAAAA